UACGAAGGGGGCUAGCGUUGCUCGGAAUCACUGGGCGUAAAGCGCACGUAGGCGGCUUUUUAAGUCAGGGGUGAAAUCCUGGAGCUCAACUCCAGAACUGCCUUUGAUACUGGGAAGCUUGAGUCUGGGAGAGGUGAGUGGAACUCCGAGUGUAGAGGUGAAAUUCAUAGAUAUUCGGAAGAACACCAGUGGCGAAGGCGGCUCACUGGCCCGGUACUGACGCUGAGGUGCGAAAGCGUGGGGAGCAAACAGG
rnacentral:rRNA from 1 species